GCCAAUCAUGCGUAACCCUGGCUCCGGUCAAUCCCCACACACUGUACCUGACUGUCGCGUUGUGCGGGACAGAGCGCUGUCCACUUGAGAAGUAUAGUGAAUUUGAGCCACCAAGGCAUUUAUAAUCCAUAUCCUGCCUUUGUUCACUUAUAUAACCGGGUCAGUAUGGAAGAGGCAGAACUGGUAAAGGACCGACUCCAAGCAAUAAUGGAUAAGAGAAAAGUCCAAGAAGACAUUGUUCAUAAAAAGCUGGAAAUAGACAAGGAGAAGUUAAAGCUUCAGCACUUAAAGAAAAAGUCUCUGAGGGAGCAGUGGCUCAUGGAUGGAACGAGCAACCAAAGCCCACAGCAGAGAGAGACUUUGAGGGGAGAUCGACAACAAACUAAACUCCUCCAGACCAGCAUCCACAGGAUUGAGAAAGAGAUUGAGGCUCUGGAGAGGGAAGAGACAAUGAUUUCGAAAAAUGAGGGCUUCAUACUGAAGAGGCUGAAAGCUAUCGAGAAAACACCUGAGGAGAUAAUAAAGGAAGCAAAGGAGAAUUUCCAAGAAGAGCCAAUCCAUAUCAACCCAGCUACUCCAGAUGCCCCAAAGUCCUACAAACCUCCAAUCUCAAAGAAGCAGUCCUUUGAAUCUAAUAAGGACACACCCAAACAAACCAUGUUUGCCAUGGAGAUCAAUGUCCAGAAGGAUCUCCGUACCGGGGAGACCCGGGUCCUGUCCACAUCCACCGUCACCCCCCAGGUGCUCCAGCGGAGAGGGGUUAAAGUCUAUGACGACGGCCGCAAGUCUGUCUAUGCCCUGCGAUCUGACGAGUCUCAGCUGGGGGAUGGUUCUAACAGAGUGGACGAGCUCAGCCCUAUGGAGGUGGAGGUUCUGCUCAGAGCAGCUACAGAGCAGAAGAAGUCUCAAAGCGGCCCACUGGGCCACCAAGGCCAUCAGGAAUCAGUGUCUGCAUUCUCCACCAACUGUGGCCCACAUAGCCACCAGAAGCCAACAUUGCCUGCAUUCUCCACCACCAGUAGAUCUUGGGGCCACCACGAGUCAGUACCUACAUUCUCCACCCCCCGUGGCUCUCGGGGCCACCAGGAGGUCAGCCCUAUGGAGGUGGCGGAGCAGCUCCGAAAGGGUACAGUGCAGAAGAUGCCUCAAAGCGGUGCUUUCCCAAAAGACCACCGGGGCCACCAGGAAUCUGUGCCUGCAUUCUCCAAUACCUGCAGCAGGAGGGCCUCAGUCCCCAACAGACCCCAACAGAGUCAUGCUAAAGUCAUCUACGAAACCAAUGGGAACGGGUAUCAGCAAGAGUCGUAUAAGCGUGAUGUCCUCUCCAGGAAGGAGCUCCACUAUAUUGAUGGAGUCCACAACUCAGAGCUGGAGAGUCUUUCCUCCUCCCCUCACAUUCCAGUCCAUUCUUUCAUUGGCAGGCAGGAUGAGGAGUACUACCAGCCAAACAACGGGUAUAACCAGAAUCCUUUCUCCUACGGUGUUGAGAAAGGAUUCCUCACCGACGACUCCUACCAUAACCCUAGAGAGAGCCAGCGAGGCGGAAUGUUUUACGACUCAUCAGUUGAAAUGGACCAGAGGCCGUCCCCGAUCUACCAGGAAGACUCGCACUUCAGUAUCCUGAACACCAUGGACACGUCCAAGCCUGUCACCGCCAUCUUUAUGGGCUACCAGACCGCGGAGGAUGACAGUGGACGUGGCCUUGGCUAUGAAGGAUCCAUCCAGGCCGAGCUUGUCGUCAUUGGCGACGAGGAUGGGGUGGACGAGAGUAACCCUCAGUUUAACACCUACACCGCGGAUGGCUAUAACAACCGGGGAUACCAUCACUGUCAACCUCAACAGAACUUAAUCAAAUACAUGGGAGAGCCCACAGCUAAUUUUAACUCAAACAAUGCAUCACCGUACACAGCAUCAAGGAAUUUGGUCUAUCCUGGUCAACAGCCCAAAGAGUCACACUACCUGUAUUCAGACGGACAGUCCGACGAGGACGGGACAGAGAAGCACUCUGCCCCAGGAUUAACCAGAAUCUCAUAAGCUUGAAGAACCAAUUACAAACGUCUGUCGGAGACAGACAGGUCGAGUGUCAAAUGAGCUUCAAGUACAAGUAUGGAGAAACCUGAACAGUUUGUGUAAAAAUACACCAUGCAAGACUCAGCAACCCCACAAGUUCCAUAACAAGAGAAGAAGAAAACCAACUUUGCACAAAACAUUCAACUAACCGUAAAAUGCUUCUGAGAUGCCAUCAAUAGCUAAAACCAGAGCCUUGUAUUUGGAUAAUUCUCAAUAUAUUUACAAUAUAAGGAUGUGGCUAAUACUGUAAGACAUAUGUUUACUCAUAACGUUUCUUUACACAGCUGAAUAUAUACCAAUGAUGUCAUUUAGAGAGAAAGAAACCAGCCGGAAAGUAGACUUUUGAAAUGAAUCUAUGAUCUUAAAUGUUAAAGGUUCCUGAAGAUAUAAGUGCCUCUGAUGUUUACUGUACUCUCUAGCCUUUUAUGCUGCUGUCGGCUACUCGUCAGCACUUUUGAUAUGCUAAUAAACCUUUCUGGAGUGCCUCAAUGUAAUAUGCCAUUGAAACUGUAAUAAUCAAUGCUAACAAAAUAAUUAAAAAGCAAAUUGUCAGACAA